rnacentral:rRNA from 1 species
AGUUACAUUAUUUCAACAGUUAAUGCACCAGAUCCCAUUAGAAAUCUAUAGUUAAGCACACUCAGGUUAGAGUAGUACUAGGAUGGGUGAUCGCUCAGGAAGUAUUGGUGUUUUACAUG